UGGGGAAUUUUGGACAAUGGGCGAAAGCCUGAUCCAGCAAUGCCGCGUGUGUGAAGAAGGCCUUCGGGUUGUAAAGCACUUUUGUCCGGAAAGAAAUCCUUGGCUCUAAUACAGUCGGGGGAUGACGGUACCGGAAGAAUAAGCACCGGCUAACUACGUGCCAGCAGCCGCGGUAAUACGUAGGGUGCAAGCGUUAAUCGGAAUUACUGGGCGUAAAGCGUGCGCAGGCGGUUUGCUAAGACCGAUGUGAAAUCCCCGGGCUCAACCUGGGAACUGCAUUGGUGACUGGCAGGCUAGAGUAUGGCAGAGGGGGGUAGAAUUCCACGUNUGAGCAGUGAAAUGCGUAGAGAUGUGGAGGAAUACCGAUGGCGAAGGCAGCCCCCUGGGCAAUACUGACGCUCAUGCACGAAAGCGUGGGGAGCAAACAGGAUUAGAUACCCUGGUAGUCCACGCCCUAAACGAUGUCAACUAGUUGUUGGGGAUUCAUUUCCUUAGUAACGUAGCUAACGCGUGAAGUUGACCGCCUGGGGAGUACGUCGCAAGAUUAAAACUUAAAUGAAUUGACGGGGUCAUAGCUG
rnacentral:rRNA from 1 species